CCACAAUAGUUUCUCUCUCUCUCUCUCUCUCUCUCUCUCUCUCUCUCUCUCUGUGUGUGUGUGUGUGAGAGAGAGAGAGAGAGAGAGAGAGAGAGAGAGAGAGAGAGAGAGAGAGAUAUCCCCA
rnacentral:miRNA from 1 species